UUUUAGAAUUAGAAUGCUGUUAUGUAUAGAUUCUGAAUGAUCCGAUAAGUUCAUACAACACAUUCCUUCAAAAUCUUCACACCCAUGUCCAUGGGCCAGUAACAGAA